ACCAAGUCGACGAGUCCCAAAUAGGACGAAACGUGCAUCCUGGAU
rnacentral:hammerhead_ribozyme from 1 species